GGACACUUCCUGCUUCUUCGUCUCGUAAAGUGACAGAUGCGCAGCGCACUGCAUUGUGGGGAAACAAAUAAGAGCGCCGAAAGGCUACCUGACAGCACAAAGGAAACGCAACAGCAAAAGUGACUUUUAAUAUGAUAAAGUGAUAAGAUGUAAGUGCGUGGCCAGCCUUGUCAGAGCUCCGAGUGUGCCUGGCUAACGCGGGGGAUGUAUGCUCGCCAGGAUACGACGCUGUCUCGCCGAAUAGCUUUGGCUCAGCGCAACUGUUUGCAGGCCCAGCAACUGGUAGCGACCUCGGUCUAAGAAGUGACCUGUGGUGGUUGUUGAUCUAAAAUGAUAUGUCAAGAAGCAUCUACUACAGGGCACAAUUUAGCCACAUGGUCAGAGCCUGACUCUAUCAUGGGAGUCAAAACCUUCACCCAUAACUCGACCUCCCACAGCCAGGAGAUGCUUGAAAAGCUCAACGCUUUGCGCAACCAAGGUCACUUGUGUGAUGUUACCAUCAGGGUGCAAGACAAACAUUUCCUGGCUCAUAAAGUGGUCUUGGCUUGCUGCAGUGAAUUUUUCCGUUCGAAACUGGUUGGUCGGCCAGAGGAGGAGGACAAGUUUGUGUUGGACCUUCACCAUGUGACAGUGAGUGGCUUCGCUCCUCUGCUGGAAUAUGCCUACACGUCUACACUCUCCAUUAGCACCGAGAAUAUUAUUGAUGUCCUUGCAGCUGCAAGUUAUAUGCAAAUGUUCGCUGUGGCAAGUACGUGUUCAGAGUUCAUGAAGUCCAGUAUUCUGUGGAGCCCAAGUAACAAUAGUAAUGACACAAUGGCAGCAGACAAACCCCGUGAAUCAGCACCAGAGAGUGCCUCAUCAAACUGUGUCCUUACGCCGCUAGACGGCAGCGUGUCACCUGUGUCGUCUGACUGUAGCAUAAUGGAGAGAAAUGUUCCUGUUUGCCGCGAAUCACGCCGGAAACGGAAAAGCUUUGUAACCAUGGCGUCGCCUGAGAGUCCGCUCAAAUGCGCCACACAGAUGAUCACAACCUCCCCCCAGGUCCCCAAUCCAUCCCCCUCCUUCUCAGACAACACAGCCCAGCCUGUGGAGUCCUCCCUGGCCUUCCCAUGGACGUUCCCAUUUGGCAUUGACAGGAGAUUCCACUCAGACAAAUCAAAGCUCCAAGAAAGCCCACGUUGCCAAGAGCAGACAGCCGCAGUUACUUCUGAAGUGGUGGUUGGUCGUCGACUCAGUGACUUUCUAACGUGUGAAAGUUCCAAGGCGGUGUCACCACCUGUGCCAGCAGAGGAAGAUGACGUGAGGGUAAAAGUGGAGCGCCUAAGUGACGAGGAGGUCCAAGAUGCGUCCUCACACCCUGUCAACGCCCCACAAAGCUUGCUGAAUGAUCAACAGACGGUGCCAGGAAGUGACCAGGUUCAGGAAGACCUCCUCAUCAGUCCACAGUCAUCCUCCAUAGGAUCCCUGGAUGAAGGAGUGUCGGAGGGCUUGCCAUCUCUGCAGGGUACAUCUAAUGCUGGAGGACAUGCAGAGGAUGAUGAAAGGCUAGAAGGCAUUCAGUAUCCAUAUCAUCUUUAUAUCAGCCCAUCAGCCCGGCCUGGAACCAAUGGCCCUGACAGGCCCUUCCAGUGUCCAACCUGUGGAGUUCGAUUCACACGCAUUCAAAACCUGAAGCAGCACAUGCUCAUACACUCCGGCAUUAAGCCUUUCCAGUGUGACCGCUGUGGAAAAAAGUUCACACGAGCCUACUCCCUAAAGAUGCAUCGGCUGAAGCACGAAGGUAAACGCUGUUUCCGGUGCCAGAUUUGUAGUGCCACAUUCACGUCCUUCGGUGAAUAUAAGCACCACAUGAGAGUCUCCCGACACAUAAUCCGCAAGCCGCGGAUUUAUGAGUGCAAAACGUGCGGCGCCAUGUUCACCAACUCUGGCAAUUUAAUUGUACACCUGAGGAGUCUGAACCAUGAGGCAUCCGAACUAGCAAACUACUUCCAGAGCAGUGAUUUCCUCGUGCCCGACUACCUGAGCCAGGUGCAGGAGGAGGAGGAGGCUCUGGGAGUCCAGUAUGGUCUGGAAGAAUCCCAACAUCACUCUGUCUAUGCAGGUGGAACCUCUACUGUCAUUGCCACCUCGUCCUCCUCCUCAGUCCAGCUACCUGUCAUAUCCCAGGUCUCCUCUUCUACCCAGAAUUGUGAGAGCUCAACUGGCCUCCUUUCACCUGAUUCCCUCGAUCCCCUUGAAAACCACUCCUUCAAGAUGGAUACCGGCCAUACUGUAGCCCUGGCAGAGGAGACAAAGACGAACAACGGCGAAGAAGGGAGUUCACCAGAGGUGUUUGAACAAGAGCACCAUCAGCGGCAUAACGCCGAGCCCGUUGAGUUGGCUUCUAUCACCAUCGAAUGAUUCAGUUUAUUUGAUGACACCAAAAAGAAAUGUAUUUGUACAUCGCUGACUGCAUCAAGACAAGUUGUCCCCAAACUUGAGUUGGCCUGGUGAGGUUUUCCACUUUUAACAAGGCAGGGAAGACCAGACCAUGUGGUGCAAUCCAUGGGGCAACCAGCUCUUAACUCACACAUGACAGCCACCAUCAUGCCAGCUCCCUGGCCCAACACACCAAACCUUGCCCUUUCCCCUGGGAGAUCAGGGUUCAAUUCCCAGCAUCAACAAACCCUGAUGUAGUAGCCUAAAAGUCAGCAUUACGGUGUGUUUUUUGCAUCAGUUAAGGCUUGGCCUCUGACAUCAAAGACCGUCUAUCAAUGAACUUGUGUGCAGCGUCACAACUGGACUAAGCCAGUCAGCAGGGUACAGCAGCCAUGGGAUGAGGCCGAUCAUGGAAAAGUAUGAGGAGGAGACAAAUACAUGAGUAAAAUUGUCUGUAAAAUAAGUGUUUAAUAUUUUUUAAAUUGUCUGUCACUAAUCCACACAUCACCUCAGUAUGCAUUAACAUGGUCACUCUGCAUCAACCAGGCCUUGAACUCACAACUUCAAACUGUAUCCCUAGAUCACCUGACUUGUAACAAACUUUCAAAAGCCUUUGUCCAGUGAGUCGUAUAGCUCACUUAGAUGCCCCAGAAAGAGGGGUUAUAUCCUUGCCGCAGGGACCACCUUGCUAGUUCUUUGCUGUGUGUCAUUUCCUCCUGAAGAAGGGAGUAGUGUAACUAAACUAAAUAAACACAAUAAUAACUGCUGUGCAGUGAUGGGUCGGGUCCGGGCGAUUUUUGGCAAAUUAAGGCAAUUCUGAGCAACAAACAGGAGAACAGGAAGGCAAGACAGUUGAAAUUAUAAAGUUCCUUUUGCACCAGUUGAGGCUAAAAUCCACAACAAUAGAACCAAAGACUGUGGUCUAUCAUGCUGAGCUAAUUGGCAAGUGACAAUUCAACAGUGGCUUCACAAAUUGAUUAAGCCAUUCACUGUUGUGCAUGCAGAUUUGAAACCACUGUAAAUAUAUCAGUUAUCAAGACAAAAAUCUGAAAAUACACAUAUUGCAUCCAGACAGAAUGGAGAUAUUGGUAAUUUGAUUUUUUAAUUGAUUCGAUUUGCUCCAUAAGUUAAUAACUGAUGUUUAAUCUAUCAAAACUCUAAAAUGUAUAUGUUUGCUUCACAAAGACCAUCUGGCAUUUUCAUGAGCUGUCAUCACCACCUUUGUCAGGGCUUGAACCCAGGUUCUUUGGCACCAAGAACCAGCUCCUAAAUCACUGAGCUAUUUCUCAAACGGAAUCACCAGCCAGACAGCAGUUGUCAAAAAUGGUCCUCCCAGUCACAGCUAAUCUUUGCCUGAGUCAACAAGAUUUGCUGAUGAAGAUCUUGCUUUCUUAUAAUUAAUGGUUGUGGAAAUAAAUUGGUAACAGAACACUGCCAUUAUUUGUAUGUCUGAUCAGAAGGUGUAAGGUAAUAGACUAGUAUGGUGGACCUGAUGACUGAAGGCAGCCAGCUGGUUAGCUCAGUCACCAUUGCCAGUGACUUUAGACUGGGUGGCAGGUGUUCAAAUCCCAAGAUGGGCAAUUAUGUUACAGUUUGAUCAACAGGAUCUGGGGUAGAAGAGUUUGCUUUAAAAUAAACAAAAAAAUUGUAUAUGAAAAGUAUUUGUAUCAGUAGUCACAAGGAAAUGUAUUUUGCACCAUUAUUGGCAAAUGUUAUCAGGAAGUAUGUCCCUGGUGACACAGGAUCUUACCCAUGCUUUCAACAAUCCCUGAAGAACUCUUUCUUCCAAAAACGGUUCUCUGGAUCAAAAUAGUUCUUACUGGAACCCUUAGUGUUAGUGAGAACCCUUUUUAAACCAAUUAUUCAGAAAAGGGGUUUUAAAGGGUUCUCUGGAUCAAAAUGGUUCUUACUGGAACCAUUAGCGUUACCAAGAACCCUUGAAAAACCCUUUCUUCGGGAAAGGGUUUUUCAGAAGCAAAUGGUUCCAGUUAGAACCUCAGCCCUUGUAGAAGAACCCUUUUGGAACCCUUAUUUCUAAGAGUGUAGUAUGAAGUUCCUUUGUAUAAAAUGCUGCUUAAAAUGCAGCAUUAAUAGUUCCAGCUUCUGAACAAUGGCGGCACACUGCUUUUCCUGUUAAUAAUUUACCCAUAUUCCUAUUUCUCGGUUUACGUAUUUCAUGGGAAAGCCAAGUAUUGAAGUCUCUUAUCAUGGAGACUUAAACGACCAAAGUGGUUCUUGAGUAUUGCUAAACAAAGGCUGAGCUACACUUGGUUUAUUCACAAAGUAGGCUAAUGACACAAAGCACUCAGGUGUGCAAGGAUUAGUCGACAUUGUUGACAAAUGUUAACAAUAGAAUUUGUCGCCGACAAUUAUAUUUGUCGACAAUAGUCGUGAUGUCAUAACUUGUGUUCCGUGACAAAGAAAAUUAGUGCGGUCACAUCUCUAAUUUGCAAAGACAAACUCAAACAUUUUCUUAACCAGACGAGUGGAAGCCAUUGGAGCUGCAAUUUUUUUUUUUUUUGAAAAGGAAAUCUUUACAGAAGAGCAUGUUCCCCCUAAUUGUCCUAGACUGGCUAUAUCUGUUGACUUAAAUGUCAGGUGCUCCAAUUUCCUCCUACGUCCCAAAAACAUGCAUGUUAGGUUAAUUAUAGACUCCAAAUUGUCCAUUGGCGCGAAUGAUAGUGCUCAGUAUCAAUUGGAUGGAAAUGAAAAAUCUAAACUUGAAAUAAUGGAAUUUGCUGUUUUUGUUUUGUGAAAUCAACACUAACUUGAAAAAUUUUAGUUUUUUUUCUUGUAGAGAUAUAUAAUGGAGUCUGUGUUAACAUCUGACCACAACUGUACAGAGCGUAGAAGGUGCCGCUGCCGUCUAAGUUGGAUAUGCAAGGUCUUCACACAAUCUCAGUGCUCUGAAACAAUCUGUAGCAUUUCAUGCAGGUUUGAAUUAGGUCUGCUCUUUUCAUUUUUCUGUGAACAGAUAAGUGUGUUGUACAGUUGUAUCCACUUAAGGUCCCGUUAAUGUCAAAAACCCGCCAACCAUCUCAUCUUCUUAUGUGCUGUACGUGGCUGACCUCUCGAGUCGACAUGGACUUUCCGACCCAAGAGGGUUAUUAAUAUUAAAAAACAGAUCAGUUUAUAUUGGGGUAUUGUUAACUUCAUCAUUAUCGCUUGCAUGUUUUUGCAAAAAAGAGAUUUGUUAUGUACAACAAUAGGAAGAAAGAUGGGGGCAACAGUAAAGGAACUGUAGUGAGCUUCUCAAUUUUGGAAUUGGUUGUUACUUCUUUUGCAGGAGAUGUCUCAGCUGUUCUUGUAUCCUCCUUUCUGCAACUAACAAAAUUGACCUUUUACAUUUUGCGCAGAUGUAGGAAAUUUACCAACAAACUGCCGUGGAUUCAAAAAUCCUUUAUCGCCCAUACUCCUUGUAGUUCUGGCAAAAGUCACAUGUAAAUAUGCAAGCAAUGGCUAUUUUACUUAAGCCGACAACCGCUUAUGUUGACACGAGUCAGCCAAUCCGAGGGAUGUUGACUGCUCGACUUUAACGGGUUUCACUGUUUGAAUGCUGCAUCACAGUUUGAGGAAACCCUAUUUGAAGACAUGCAAGAUGUUAAAGCGUAACAUGAUUGAUCAGAACUGUAGAUGUUUGGUAUUAUGGGUCCUAUUCUUACAUGUGCUUAAGUGAAAAAAAGCUGCGCAGUUGCAUGGAUUCUCCCCCUGAUGUGAUGCCAUCAUCAAACUAUCUGUUUCAUCGAAAAUACACAUAAUGUAGUGUCUAUCAAUUGAUUCGAUUGAUUUUUUUGACAAUAUCAAACUGUCAGCUGUCAGGCCCCCUCACAAGCACACCCACUCAAACCGCUGUCUAAACAAAACUCUUAACAUCAGGGUAGUUUAAUAACGAGUAGCACAGUUUAAUCUAAAAAGUUACAUCCUGCCGAAAAAAGUAUUUAUGUUUUGCGUGUGCAUACGCAUAGGUCUGGACUAUUAUGGCAACAAUAAUAAUCACGAUUAUUUUUGAUUGAUAUUGAAAUCACAAUUAAUAACAAAAUCAUUCUUUCAUUUGAAAACAUCAGUAUUUAUUGCACAACCAAAACUCAACUCUAAAUAAAAUGUAAAAGAGCAACAGAUAUAAAUUAGUAAUGAAUAAACAAGAAAAGUAAAAAUUACAAUGAUAGUAACAGUAAUAAAUUAAAAUUACAGUAGGUAUAUAAAAACAAUAACAUUCAGAGAGGGACAAGCGGAAAAAAUGAAUGAAUGGAUGGAUUGACCUGGAUUUUAGGUCAAAGCAUAAUACUGGUAAUUGUGUAAAUGUGCCAUAAGUGCUUUAAGUACAUUAUGCUUGUGUAUGGUACUUUUCUGAAACCUUUAUUUUGUUAGCACAAUCAGACCGGAUGUGGUGCACCGCGCUAUUAUUGUGAUGGAUGGUCUGCGCGGUUGUUCUCAGCUUGACGAGUACGACUUGAGGCUUUAAUAAAACAUUUUAAAAAAGAGCGCACCUCUCAAGUUGCGACUGCUCUCCUGUUUAUACAUUGAUCUUAAUUGGGGCGGUAUAGCUCGGUUGGUAGAGCGGUCUUGCCAGCAACUUGAGGGUUGCAGGUUCGAUCCCCGCUUCCGCCAUCCUAGUCACUGCUGUUGUGUCCUUGGGAAAGACACUUUACCCACCUGCUCCCAGUGCCACCCACUCUGGUUUAAAUGUAACUUAGAUAUUGGGUUUUACUAUGUAAAGCGCUUUGAGUCACUAGAGAAAAGCGCUAUAUAAAUAUAAUUCACUUCACUUCACAUCUUCACAACAACACGAGUAUAUGAGAUGUGGGUGUAUGGAUUUUUUUUUUUUGCUGUUUCAAGUGAUUAUAUCAACAUUGUUUAGUUUAGGACAUGUUUCGGGGAUGAAUGAGCGGUACGGACACAUUAUUUUGCCAAACAAAUGUUCCUUCUCCUCACAAUGACAGCAUUUCACUCACAUUUAUGUCAAUUUCCGUGAUACUCUGUUUAUUAGCCUUUUAUUAGCGUAUUAUUGCUUUAUUGGCCAAUUCUGUGACUCUGUCCGCGGUUACGCCAACACGGAAAUCAUAUAGCCUUACUUUUUUGUUGAGUUUAGUGAUUAUUGAUUAGACAUACUAGCACAUUGUCAAAUAAAAAGUAGCAAUCAUUGUGAGUUCCUAAACUUCCAGUAGACGUGGUCGUCUUUGUAAUCAUACGCUGUUGUGCGGCCCAUUAAUCUUUUUUUUUUUUCAAUGUUAGAUUUUUAUGAUCGUGAGAAGCAAUAAUUGAAAUAGAAAUCAAAACUUGAUUAAUUGGCCUGCCCUAAAUACACGCAUUGCAUCACUAUGACGACACAUGUUAAGCACGGUCUGGAGUGACACGGCCUUCUCAAAUGUGAAGUGUUUUAUUUUUCAUGGAUUUCAAUGACAUACACAUAUUAGAUCGCCAUGUUUCAUGAUUUUCACAUAGCCAAAAAAGGCACUAUGGCAAAGUCCGCCUCAUUGGUAAUGAGCCCGCCUUCAUCCACGACAUAUAAGCACUUGGGUCUCACUUACGCAGAGUGGGCGUGUCCGUAGCCUGGAUAGGAGAAUUCAAGUAAGAGAAACCUGUGUAACUUCAAGCGCGUAAGAAUAAACAAAAAACACACUUAAGCGAACGUUAGAAUAGGGCUCUAUGUGAGUAGAUUAUUUAAUAGACUUAAUUAUACAUUAUACAAAUCAUCAUUUGGUAUAACAGUAAAACUGUUUUAAGUGAUUUUGGGUCAAACCUGUGCAACUAAAAAUCUAAUCAAUGACUUGAAUGCUGAUUGGCUAACUAAUCAGUUGAAGUAGGAGGAAGUAAAAAGCCUUGUUUUAAGGGUUGAUUGGACAGAUGAAUAUUUUGUGUUAAUGUCCUGAUUUAAUCAAAUUCACUGAGCGCUGUCUUAAGAGUUUGUGUCACACAAUGCCAUCGUGUCAGCAAAGUCUUGUGUGCCAUUUGUCCCACUGAAAAUCAAGCCUUUCUUUUCCCCACAGGACCAAAUGUUUUAUAUUUCAUUGUGAGAUUUGCCAUGGCAAUCAAUACUUGCACAUUUAAAAAAAGAAAAAGAAAAAAAAGAUGGCGAUAAUCAGUAUAAGUGGUCCAUGGAAAGUAGCAAAGGGGUUUUCUAUUUUGCCCCUAAAAACACUGUAUGAUGUUGUGCAUCCAAGAGGCUAGCCUUAGUAAACGGACCUAUUAACUCUAGUUGCACACUCAAAACUAUUUUUUAUUUCUCCAUUUGUUAUGCUUUACAAUUGUUGUGUAGGUGUCUGUUUUCUAACAACCUUUUACAUAUUUAUAUAUAUAUAUAUAUAUAUAUAUAUAUACAUAUAUAUGUAUAUAUAUAUAUAUGUUAUGAAAAUGCUGCUGUUUGCUGGAAAGUGCCCAAACUAUUUUUGUGAACUAUUUUGUGUGCAAUAAAUGGACAGGUGUUGUUCCCAAUGUGAGAAGUCAGUUUUUUUGGAGAAAUAUAUCCUGUGUACUCUACAUAACAAAAGUCAGUGCACCGCUCGUAUUUCUGGCAAUAUUUUAAUAUAUAUUUUUCAUUGAACAACACUGAAGAAAUGACACAAUGAUGUAUCUCUUACAGACCCCACACUGGAAGAUAGAACAUCAGGCAUCGAACAGUUUUACUCUUUGAGUGCAGUGUGUUACGAUAAUAUCAACACCCAGCCAAAUUCGAGUCAGCCAGGCCCGAAAUCACGCGUGAACAAAGGUGAACUAACAAAAUCGAAGAAGCAGAAACCUAGCAACCGCCAUAGCAACACCCAGAAAAACAGGCAAUAUCAGAAGGGGAGAGGAUGUUAGUGGUUUUGGGACUAUUUUUGAAAGAAAAAUCCCAAACCAAAAAAAUUAUGGAGACGGCAUCAACUUAAUCUUUAUAAUCUACUGAG